UGUGUGUGUGUGUGUGUGUGUGUGUGUAUCUGUGUGCCACUAUGUCCCAGUGUGUGCAUAUAUCUGUGUGUCAGGUACAUACACACACACACACACACACAGA